AACACAUGCAAGUCGAACGAGAAAGUGGAGCAAUCCAUGAGUAAAGUGGCGACCGGGUGAGUAACACGUGACUAACCUACCUCCGAGUGGGGAAUAACUCCGGGAAACCGGGGCUAAUACCGCAUAACAUCGCAAGAUCAAAGCAGCAAUGCGCUUGGAGAGGGGGUCGCGGCUGAUUAGCUCGUUGGCGGGGUAACGGCCCACCAAGGCGAAGAUCGGUAUCCGGCCUGAGAGGGCGCACGGACACACUGGAACUGAAACACGGUCCAGACUCCCACGGGAGGCAGCAGUGGGGAAUUUUGCGCAAUGGGGGAAACCCUGACGCCGCAACGCCGCGUGGAGGAUGAAGCCCUUUGGGGCGUAAACUCCUUUCGACUCGGACGAUAAUGACGGUACGAGUGG
rnacentral:rRNA from 1 species